UGAGGAAUCUUGCGCAAUGGGGGAAACCCUGACGCAGCAACGCCGCGUGAGUGAGGAAGGUCUUCGGAUCGUAAAGCUCUGUCAGUUGGAAAGAAAUGUCUGAGAGUCAAUCCCUUUCAGGCUUGACGGUACCAACAGAGGAAGCACCGGCUAACUCCGUGCCAGCAGCCGCGGUAAUACGGGGGGUGCAAGCGUUGUUCGGAAUUAUUGGGCGUAAAGAGCGUGUAGGCGGCCGGAUAUGUCAGAUGUGAAAGCCCCGGGCUUAACCCGGGAAGUGCAUUUGAAACUGUCCGGCUCGAGUAGGGGGGGGGGAAGUGGAAUUCCUGGUGUAGAGGUGAAAUUCGUAGAUAUCAGGAGGAACACCGGUGGCGAAGGCGACUUCCUGGCCCUAUACUGACGCUGAGACGCGAGAGCGUGGGUAGCAAACAG
rnacentral:rRNA from 1 species